rnacentral:tRNA from 1 species
UCACCAGUGGCUCAGUGGUAAAGAAUCUGCUUGUAACGCAGGAGGCUCAGGUUUGAUCCCUGGGUUGGGAA